UGGGGAAUAUUGGACAAUGGGCGCAAGCCUGAUCCAGCCAUGCCGCGUGAGUGAUGAAGGCCCUAGGGUUGUAAAGCUCUUUCACCGGUGAAGAUAAUGACGGUAACCGGAGAAGAAGCCCCGGCUAACUUCGUGCCAGCAGCCGCGGUAAUACGAAGGGGGCUAGCGUUGUUCGGAUUUACUGGGCGUAAAACGCACGUAGGCGGACUUUUAAGUCAGGGGUGAAAUCCCGGGGCUCAACCCCGGAACUGCCUUUGAUACUGGAAGUCUUGAGUAUGGUAGAGGUGAGUGGAAUUCCGAGUGUAGAGGUGAAAUUCGUAGAUAUUCGGAGGAACACCAGUGGCGAAGGCGGCUCACUGGACCAUUACUGACGCUGAGGUGCGAAAGCGUGGGAAGCAAACAGG
rnacentral:rRNA from 1 species